UACAGAGACUGCAAGCGUUAUUCGGAUUCACUGGGCGUAAAGGGUGCGCAGGCGGUUGGGUGUGUCAGAUGUGAAACCCCGAGGCUUAACCUCGGAACUGCGUCUGAAACUACUCGACUAGAGUACUGGAGAGGGAAACGGAAUUCACGGUGUAGCAGUGAAAUGCGUAGAUAUCGUGAGGAACACCAGAGGCGAAGGCGGUUUCCUGGACAGUUACUGACGCUCAGGCACGAAAAGCAUGGGGGAGCAAAAGGG
rnacentral:rRNA from 1 species